CAAAAUGUAGCUUAAUUAAAGCAUCUGGCCUACACCCAGAAGAUAUCGCCCAUUAGCGAUCACUUUGA
rnacentral:tRNA from 1 species